GAUGAACGCUAGCGGCAGGCUUAACACAUGCAAGUCGAGGGGCAGCACGUCUUCGGAUGGUGGCGACCGGCGCACGGGUGAGUAACGCGUAUGCAAUCUACCUUUUACAGGGGCAUAGCCCGGGGAAACCCGGAUUAAUAUCCUAUAGUACCAUUAUAUAGCAUUAUAUUAUGGUUAAAGUUUCGGCGGUAAAAGAUGAGCAUGCGUCCUAUUAGCUUGAUGGUAAGGUAACGGCUUACCAUGGCUAUGAUAGGUAGGGGUCCUGAGAGGGAGACCCCCCACACUGGUACUGAGACACGGACCAGACUCCUACGGGAGGCAGCAGUGAGGAAUAUUGGACAAUGGGCGCAAGCCUGAUCCAGCCAUGCCGCGUGCAGGAAGACGGCCCUAUGGGUUGUAAACUGCUUUUAUACGGGAAGAAACACCCCUUCGUGAAGGGACUUGACGGUACCGUAUGAAUAAGGAUCGGCCAACUCCGUGCCAGCAGCCGCGGUAAUACGGAGGAU
rnacentral:rRNA from 1 species